UUUUUUUUUGCCUUUGUAUAAAUAUAACCCAAAAGAACUUAAUAGGAUGAACUCAGUCGAGAGACAGAAAAUUCUACUUCUGCAAUCUUGUUGAAGUACUAGUAUCAUAAUCCGACUUCCACUUUCUUAAGUGGACCAUUUAAUUUUUCAAUACUUCGUAAUUUGUAUGCAUAGUAAAAUGAUUAAGUCAAUUAUUUCAAGCUGGAAAAAAGGAUUAAUCUACAAUUUCCACAAGAAUUUUUGUGAAUAUAGCAUCAAAAUAAUUUAUAGUAUGCAUAUCAAGUUAAG
rnacentral:misc_RNA from 1 species